GGCUUGUGCUGGCACCGAGGCCCAGCCAAGGGCUGGAGCCGGAGGGGCCCCAGGGCGGCCGAGCUGGGGGCGGGAGGGGUGGGGCGAAGGUGCGACAGGAUACCAGGUAGCAGGAAGGUUUCAAAGCCUUAUGUGACCUGGGUGGUGCCCCAGCUACCUGGCCGCUCCGAGACCUGUGGGACCCCUUCUCCUAACUGUGCCCACCCCAUCCCCAGCAUCUGCAAUCCCGGCCCUCUCGCAUUCGCCCCACCGCGCUUCGAGAAUCUUAAAUCAACACUGGGGUGUGAGAAGCUCCGUGGAGCCCCCACCACCACUUCCCCGCCACUGCAGCGUACACCAUGCCGUGGGAAUCCUUGCUUUACAGCCAAGGAAACUGAGGCCAGAGAUCAGGGAGGUGGGAAGGCUGGGCGUGGAGCAGAACUUUCCUCCACCUGGUUGCCAGCUAGUGGCGGUUGUGGGGUGAGGGGCUGUCCCAGGGGCCAAGCUCGGGGCCUUGACACUGUAAACAAGCUUCCCAGCCUCAGUUUCCCAUCUGGGGAAUGGCGGAAUCAAGGCUGCUGCGGAGGCAGGAGGGGCUGUCCUGUGAGCCAGAGAGCACUGGGGACCCGCCAUUCUCUCACAGUCCCCUCACCUAUCCACGAGGGAGGACUCGUGGCAGCAUCCCGGGAGGGGCUAGGGGUGGGCGCCAGGGAAUCUGUCCAGGUCAGUUCCCUGACUACCCCUCCCCGGGGUCAGCGGCUUUUCCCUCCCCCAACCACUGUGCUGCCGGCCGCUCCCUCCUCUCUCCCGCCUUCUGACUGCCAGCUCCUCCCCGCAAAGCCCCCAGACCCCAGCUGCAGGGAUUUUACAGCUUUGACCAGCAGCUCAGCCUCCCCCUGCUCCUCCUCCCUCCUCCCCCGCUUGCAUCUCCCCCCUCCAGCCUCCUUCCCUUCUCCUCUCCAUCUUUCCCCUCCAUUCUCCUCCUCCCUCCUCCUCCCCCCUCUCUCCUCCCCUCCCUUCCUGCCUCCGCCCUCCCGCUCCCUCCCUCCCGCUCUCCGGGGGAAGAAAGGUCACCGUGCAGCUGAUUACUCAGAGCUCAGUUGCUGUAGCAACCGGCGGGGGAAGUGGGACAGGCUGGCUUUGAGGACGCGCGAGGUCGGCCGCGGGCGGCUGGAGCCGGCGCGGGCCUCUGUGCGCCGCGAGAGGGAGGCCGCCUGCAGCCCGGCUGCUCGGCCGCCGCGGGCCCGGCUCCGGGGGUUCAGUUUUAAUGAAGAAUCCCUGCUCCCUUCUCGCGCCCCUCCCGACUUCAGCCCACCUCCCUGGGGUCUGGAAGGAGAGGGUCGCCCCUCCCCGCUUUGGCUGCUAAACUCUCUGGCUCUCCCCACCGCCGCUGCCUGGGUUCUGGUGGCUUUCUUCCUCCUUGCCUGUCGGAGCUCAAGGGACAAGCCCUUUCCCUGGCGCGUGCCCGGUGAAACCCUCGCACCCUUUCCCACCCCCACAAGCUUUUGGCAUUGGCCUGGGAGACCCCAGGCAUCUUCAGCCCAUCCAGGGACAAGGGUCCGCGGAGGAUCGGGAGCCCCUCGUGGGCCUGGUGCCCAUGGUGUGCCCACCCCUGCCCUCCAGGAGUCCCUGGGCCCUGGGAAGUCAGCGCUCUGUUCAAGGAGGAAGCCAGACCCAGCUACAGGGAGGGGCCCCCGGCUGAUGCAGAGAGGCCGGAACCCGCAUCCCAGGCCCCGGCAGUCUGCUGGUUCCUUCUCCAAGGCCAGUGGAGAGAGGAUCCUUGAAACUUGGCAGUGA
ensembl:lncRNA